UUAUUAUAGUAAUGUACGUCUAUUAAUCAUUAACGCACGUAUUACGAUUAGUUUAUAUUUAGAAUAUGGACAUUAUAUAUUCAGUUGUUUACAUGUAGCCGAGAUAUCAAGAAGUCUAUUAAAUAUCAGAACAUUAUAAUGGCGACGAAGAUAAACGUAUUCUAUUAAACGAAACGAUGGUGGAAGAGCAGGCAGAGCCUCAACCACUGCAGCAACAGGC